GAGGCUGAUCUUUGCAGGCAAACAACUUGAAGAUGGCAGAACUUUAGCUGAUUACAACAUCCAAAAGGAAUCAACUCUCCAUUUGGUGCUUCGACUGCGUGGGGGGAUGCAGAUUUUCGUGAAGACGCUGACAGGAAAGACAAUCACAUUGGAAGUUGAAAGCUCAGACACAAUCGACAAUGUGAAGGCGAAGAUUCAAGACAAGGAGGGGAUUCCACCAGAUCAACAGAGACUGAUCUUUGCUGGAAAACAAUUGGAGGAUGGUCGGACUUUGGCUGACUACAAUAUUCAGAAAGAGUCCACCCUCCACCUUGUCCUCCGCCUGCGCGGUGGCUUUUAGGUGGCUCCCACAUGUUGACAGACGGUGUAUGGUGCUAGAAUUGUGGUGCCUUUCUUUGCAUCUCUUGGUUGGUUGGUUUAGUGGUAACAAAACUCGUCCGUUUAUUUCAGCGUCUUUAUAUAUUAUGUUAUAUGAUGGCCCAAUGGGUCAAAGACAACUUCUAACUCUAAAAUGGAUGUAAUAUCCUUUGUAAGUAAAUAAUAAAUAUGGUAUUGUGGA
rnacentral:misc_RNA from 1 species